AAGGAUUACAUCAAAAUUGAAGCAGAAUUUGCAGUUCCUAAAAUUAUGGAAGGAGUUCCAAAAGAGAAAAUCCAGUACUCCAAAGCCUGCUACUAGUUAUCGUAAGAAGAAGGUGGAGAAGGAAGAACUGCCUGACGAUGAAGAGAUCUACCGCGAUCCUACAUUGGCACUAUACUAUACAAAUCAGGUAUUAGAUACUGUUGUUCCAGUCUUGCUUGUUGAUGGAUAUAAUGUGUGUGGAUAUUGGCCAAAGUUGAAGAAGCAUUUU
rnacentral:misc_RNA from 1 species